rnacentral:rRNA from 1 species
GUGCCAGCAGCCGCGGUAAUACGUAGGGGGCUAGCGUUGUCCGGAAUCAUUGGGCGUAAAGCGCGCGUAGGCGGCCCGAUAAGUCUGCUGUGAAAGUCCAGGGCUCAACCCUGGAAUGCCGGUGGAUACUGUCGGGCUAGAGUUCGGAAGAGGCAAGUGGAAUUCCUGGUGUAGCGGUGGAAUGCGCAGAUAUCAGGAGGAACACCUAUAGCGAAGGCAGCUUGCUGGGACGACACUGACGCUGAGGCGCGAAAGCGUGGGGAGCGAACAGGAUUAGAUACCCUGGUAGUCG